UACGUAGGGUGCGAGCGUUGUCCGGAAUUAUUGGGCGUAAAGAGCUCGUAGGCGGUUUGUCGCGUCUGCUGUGAAAACGCGGGGCUCAACUCCGCGCCUGCAGUGGGUACGGGCAGACUAGAGUGGCAGUAGGGGAGACUGGAAUUCCUGGUGUAGCGGUGGAAUGCGCAGAGUAUCAGGAGGAACACCGGUGGCGAAGGCGGGAUCUCUGGGCGUGUAACUGACGCUGGAGGAGCGGAAAAGCGUCGGG
rnacentral:rRNA from 1 species